CGUUCUGGUGUGAGAAAUGGGCUCCGGAUUUCCAGAGAGCCUUUCCUCCAAAGAGUUCAGCAUACUUUGCAGAUGUUUUCUUCACCACCUUCCUCUGAGCAUGUUGACUUAUUCCGAGAAGAUGCAUGUUUGAUAAACAGAACCAUCCUUCCUACAAACACAAUGGCCGGUAGGCAUGCAAAGAAAGGAGCCAAAGGAGAAAGAAGAGUAUUAACUGGGAAUCUUCAGGAUGGAAGCACAGAUUUGCAGGCUCUGAUGCCUAGCUGAAUUAAUAUCACGUUAUCUAAUAUGAAGGUCACCGCUCAUCCAUAAUGCAGAACAGGGGAUUACUAUUGGGGUUUUUAAACAUCGGGAGUGAUGAGGGUAAACUGAUUAGAAUAAUGGGUAGCAAUCAAAUCCCUAUUUUGUGAAGCACAAAUGUCAACAUCGUGACAAAAUCACACUAACUUGACAUUUAUGAGAAUAAAAUGGCCACAUAAGAUGGC